ACCAGAUUGCAAAAGGGGUUCAUGACACACCAAUCUGGAAAUUAUUUGGAUUUCAUGAGAAUUAUAGGUCUAUAGAAUUCUAUAGAAUAUGAAAGCUAUUACCUCACAAUAAUCCCAGGAGGUAGAUUGGAAUGGCAUUAAUAUAACCCUUUUUACAGAUAAGAAAACUGAAGUUUGUAGAGGUUUUGACUUUCCCAAGUUUCACAGUCUAUAAAUAGCAGAACCAAGAUUAGAAACUAAGUAUACUGAUGUCAACUACCAAAAAAUAUAUAUCUUUCUACCAUAUCACUGACAUCCAUGUUUAGAAAACUAUCCACUCGAAAAGCAAUCAUAAAAAGAUGGAAGAAAAGUAGGGACAAUCUAAUUAAGUCCUUUUCGUGGAGGUAUGACUACACCUAUACAAUGCCUGGCUGAUUGCCAAACAUCCACAUUUUAUAGCAAAUGAGCAAUGUACUUAUCUCCUCUGCUUAUAUCAACUCAUGCUUUGAAUCCUGUCAGGACAUUCGUAUAUUCCUCUGACUUAAGUUCCUCAUUCUACAGCACCAACCUAUUUACUCACAUGAAAUAAAUCUACAAAUAUUUAUUGCUGGCCUCUUCUUUUUUUUUCUUAUAAGGGCACAGACCACUAGACAAGAAGGAAUAUGUCAAAGUGCCAGACUUUUUCACAUAAAGUUUCUUUAGAAAAGCACCCUGGACUACUGGAUAUAGUGGUGGACCUUAGAAUCCAGAAGAAUUGGUUGGAACUCUACUUUGGACUCUACCUACAUAAUCAAAGGGAAAGAAACUCAAAAGGCAGCCAGCAGAUAUCCAAAACUUCUCCAUCAGAUGCUGUAUUUCAUGUCAACUUUACCUACAAAAUCUGUGGAAAGGUUCCUGAAAGAGCUCCCCCUGACAUACCUUGGAUGCUGCUCUUGAUGCCAUCAAGAGAAAAGCUGGAAUGUGAGUCUUCCUCCCAUCUCCCUUCACCCCAGCCAGAAGUACAUCUGAGAGGCGGUAAAAUACAUCAGAAAAGGAAGAAAGAGGAUAUAUAUGAUUGA
rnacentral:lncRNA from 1 species